GCCCAGGUGAUGAAAUUGGUAAACAUGCACGCUUGAGGGGCGUGUGCUUCACGGCUUGCUGGUUCAACUCCAGUCCUGGGCA
rnacentral:tRNA from 1 species